CAAACUAAUAAAAAAAUUGAGAAAUAAACAACGGAAGACAACAAUAGUCUCAAAUAAAAGAUAUUGUUGAAAGUGAACUCUUAUUAAUAUAAUACAUAUUUCUUGUUGAACGAAGCUUACAACAAUAAAAACACUAGUAAUAAGAAUAGAAUACAUAUGUCAUAAAUAAUUAUCAAGAGUCACAAAUUUUCUUACAGACCCUUUGACAUAAUUACCCAAAAAAAAAAAAAAAAAAAAAAAAAAAAUAGAAUACAUAUAUCAUAAAUAAUUAUCAAGAGUCACAAAUUUUCUUACAGACCCUUUGACAUAAUUACCCAAAAAAAAAAAAAAAAUACAAAUAAACUUAAUGUACCCAUAAUGUCACCCCCAAGAUUUUCCUUUCCUUUUUCUUUCUCAUUCCUCUAG
rnacentral:lncRNA from 1 species